rnacentral:rRNA from 1 species
GAGCGGCGAACGGGUGAGUAACACGUAAGCAACCUGCCUCCAAGUUCGGGAUAACCUUGCCAACGCGGGGCUAAUACCGGAUGUGGUCACGAAUCCGCAUGGUUUUGUGACUAAAGCUGACCUCUGCUUGCACGUUAGCGCUUGGAGAUGGGCUUGCGGCCCAUUAGCUUGUUGGUGGGGUAAUGGCCUACCAAGGCGACGAUGGGUAGCCGACCUGAGAGGGUGAUCGGACACAUUGGGACUGAGAUACGGACCAGACUCCUACGGGAGGCAACAGUAGGGAAUAUUGCGCAAUGGACGAAAGUCUGACGCAGAGACGCCGCGUGAGCGAUGAAGGUCUUCGGAUUGUAACGCUCUGUUGAGUGGGAAGAAAAACUUCGGGGACAAUAACCUCGGAGCUUGACGGUACCACUCGAGGAAGCCACGGAUAACUACGUGCCAGCAGACGAGGUAAUACGUAAGGGGCUAACGUUGUACGGAAUCACUGGGCGUAAAGGGAGUGUAGGCGGGAAGUAAAUUAGGGAGUAAAUUCACAGGCUUAACCUGUGGCCUGCUCUUAAUACGGCCUUUCUCGAGUAUGCGAGAGGGUGAUGGAAUUCCAGGUGUAACGGUGGAAUGCGUAGAUAUCUGGAAGAACACCAGUUGCGAAGGCGGUCACCUGGCCCAAUACUGACGCUGAGGCUCGAAAGCUAGGGGAGCGAACAGGAUUAGAUACCCUGGUAGUCCUAGCCGUAAACGAUGGAUACUAGUUGCUGGAGGAGUCAAUCCUUUCAGUGACGAAGUUAACGCAUUAAGUAUCCCGCCUGGGGAGUACGCUCGCAAGGGUGAAACUCAAAGGAAUUGACGGGGGCCCGCACAAGCGGUGGAGCAUGUGCUUUAAUUCGAUGCAACGCGAAGAACCUUACCUGGGUUUGACAUGGGAGUGAAAGGAUCCAGAGAUGGAACCCCUUCCGCAAGGAACACUUCACACAGGUGCUGCAUGGUUGUCGUCAGCUCGUGUCGUGAGAUGUUGGGUUAAGUCCCGCAACGAGCGCAACCCCUGCCCUUAGUUGCCAUCAGGUAAAGCUGGGAACUCUAAGGGGACCGCCUGUCGUAAACAGGAGGAAGGUGGGGAUGACGUCAAAUCAUCAUGGCCCUUACGCCCAGGGCUAGACACGUGCUACAAUGGUCGGUACAAUGGGAUGCGAACCUGCGAGGGCAAGCUAAUCCCAGAAAACCGGCCUCAGUCCGGAUUGGAGUCUGCAACUCGACUCCAUGAAGUUGGAAUCGCUAGUAAUCGCGGAUCAGCAUGCCGCGGUGAUACGUUCCCGGGCCUUGUACACACCGCCCGUCAAGCCAUGAAAGACGGUAGUGCCCGAAGUCGUGUGCCUAACCGCAAGGAGGGUAGCGCCGAAGG